GAACUUUGACGUUGUUUCUUCAGCCAAAGCAUUGACGUCGGUUUUCAUUGAGUGAAAUUUUCUUUUGCUGGGCUGCAUACGUGAGUAUGUUGACUUCAUUCAACUUUAGAAAAUAGUCCUACAGUGUUUAAUACUUUAUUUGCGAUGAAGAUUGCAUUCGUAAUACUUAGAUUUUAUGAUCAUGAUUCUUUAUCUUCUUUAGUAAUAGAAAGGAUCGUGCAAUGAUCAUUGCACGAUACAAAGUCACCAUACACUAAACUAAAAUACAAGAAAACAUUCAAAUGCUUCAUACUUUAUUUGCGAUGAAGAUUGCAUUCGUAAUACUUAGAUUUUAUGAUCAUGAUUCUUUAUCUUCUUUAGUAAUAGAAAGGAUCGUGCAAUGAUCAGUGUACGAUGCAAAGUCACCAUACACUAAACUAAAAUGCAAGA
rnacentral:lncRNA from 1 species